GACAGGUUCAGUUGUUCAUCACUUAAUCCCCCACUGGUUUGAGGUGUUCACUGCAUCUACUUGCUCCUAUCGUUUAUUCUUGCCUUAUCAUUGGUUCUCUUGGAAUAUGCUCAUAUUGACAGUUUUUCUUCUGUCUUUGUUGGAGCAGGAGAUGGUGUGGCAAGGCAGGGGACUGGGGAGUGCAUGAUGCUAAUCAAUUCCAGUAUGUACGCCACAGUGCCUCUUCCCUUCUUUUCUGGUAUAUCAAUCCAUUUCGCAUAUAUGCAGCCACCCACUGAAAUAGCAUAUUCUUAUUGCAAUCCAUACAUGAAGAUCUAUUGGAGGUGUGCAGCAAGGACACGCCACAUAAUUUUUGCUGGUCUUACAAAAGCCAUGUCCUGGCAGCACCAAGGGACAAAGCAUCGAUGACUGCGACCUCGCUGACUUUGCAAUGUCCUAGUUCUUUAAAGAGUAAUUGCUUGCUUAUUUGUUGACAAAAGGUGGGGAGAGGAACUUGAGCGACUCUUGGCACAUAUCUUAAAGAUUUGUUGCAUACAGUUU